GUGGGGAAUAUUGGACAAUGGGCGAAAGCCUGAUCCAGCCAUGCCGCGUGUGUGAAGAAGGUCUUCGGAUUGUAAAGCACUUUAAGUUGGGAGGAAGGGCAGUAAGUUAAUACCUUGCUGUUUUGACGUUACCGACAGAAUAAGCACCGGCUAACUUCGUGCCAGCAGCCGCGGUAAUACGAAGGGUGCAAGCGUUAAUCGGAAUUACUGGGCGUAAAGCGUGCGUAGGUGGUUUUGUAAGUUGGAGGUGAAAUCCCCGGGCUCAACCUGGGAACUGCCUCCAAAACUGCAUGACUAGAGUACGGUAGAGGGUAGUGGAAUUUCCUGUGUAGCGGUGAAAUGCGUAGAUAUAGGAAGGAACACCAGUGGCGAAGGCGACUACCUGGACUGAUACUGACACUGAGGUGCGAAAGCGUGGGGAGCAAACAGGAUUAGAUACCCCGGUAGUCC
rnacentral:rRNA from 1 species